AUUUUGUAGAAAGCUGAGGGUAGGGACAAUUUACAAAUUUACAGAGGCCUGUGCAGAAUGCAAGGAACCAGUAAGGAAAGUAGAGGCACCCAGGAAACCAUUAUCCUCCAGGUCUUAGGAACUACAUUUCCCAACUGUGCUGAGGGUUGGAGCCCAAGAAGAGGGGCUGCCCAAUAGGAGCUCUAGUUUGAGAAGCAUGUAGACAAUAGCAGAAUGAUGCUGCUGAAGGAAAUAGAGGCAGAGGAAGAGAGCCUUUGAUCUCUCCUCUUCUGGCCUCCAGUCUCCUGCUGGUGCCUGCUACUGACCCACCGACUGGAAACCAGAGGCAACACGGUUGCAGUGAUGCAACAUAUAGGGGUCGAGCCCUGGGCCCCAGCUUGGGGCCUCAGGGGAGAUGCAUCUGGGGAGGGAAGAUCAAACAGAAAAUCAGCCCAAUGGACUGGAUGAUGUCAUAUUACAGGGAGGCGAGGAAAUAACGGGAUGUCCUCUUUUUCUGUAAUACCUUGAUACUUGAAAGGAGUUCUGCUAUAUUGAUUUGAAGUAAAAGAAAAAAAAUCUUACCAAACUUUGGGCAAUUUACUGCUAGCUUAAAGGUGAGGGCAGAUAGCAAAAAUGUCCCCACAUAUCCAGCCACUCUAUUCUGGGGUAGAAAAGCAGCCGAAUGUGGGAAUUUUCACUCCAGUCUUGCUUUCCCUGCCUCUCAUUGUUGAGCGGUAAUCCCUCUUGUUUCUAUUAAGAUCGUAUUUGCUCCUUGGGCCUCACAGCUGUUGGCAUCCAGUUCUUCCUCUUACCACCUCCCAGGUCACCUCAGUUCUUUCUAAGGGCUUUUCCUUCCCGGUGUAAAGACCAAGCUUGCCUAUUUGGGAAAGCUGACAGCUUAGCUCUCUGCUCCUGUGCAUAGCUAGUUACCUAAUGGACUCUUAACAUAUGGGGUCCACUGGUCCCCUCUUCAGCCUGAAACUGCACACCUACCUUGGAAGGGAACAAAAACAGCGCUACAGGUUGUGUCCACAGGGAGGUAGGCCUCACAAUAGGCACACGAGGCUUGCGAUGCUGGAGGAAGCCAGCAGGGGCGCUCUCAGCACAUGCUCCUCUUUGGGUCCCUUUCUACCCUGGGUCCCAAAUCCCCUUCCCUGUGGCAUUCACUCGUCUCCUUAGGCAGAAAGUCGUCAUAAACAGCGGGAAAAGCAUGUUCUCAGGGGAUUUGCUAGGGGCCGCCUUUUAUCUGAGGUCCACGGUUCCCCCCAACCUGGUGGCCCACCCCCAUUUCUUCUCUGUGUCCCUCAUUCUCAUUUUCCCACCAAAGCGAGAUGACAAUGUAAGGGGGAGGUAGAAGGGAUUCUUUGGUUUCCCCGGGUUCUUAAAGUACUUCUAGGGGGAAGAGUUUCAGAAUAAGAAUACAGCUGACCCCAAUCACUUUUGAACUUUGUAGUCACUAACUUGUGGCGACUUGUGGGAUCUGGGGUGUACAACUGCAUUUGUUGAGGAAUUAUUUUGCUCUGCAGCCAUCUAGAAAGAAUAGGGGUGGGGGAGGGGUUCUUAUGGAGCAAGAGCAGAGGUGCCAGCAGGGGUGAGGCUGAGGGGGUGCUUUAGGGGGAGCUGAGCAGCUGGAUGAAGUUGUGGUUGACUGAAAAGGACAUGGGAAGACCUCAGGGAGGGCCAGGUGCUGGAGUCUGUGUCUGAGCCUCCUUGUGUCGGGGUGGGGGUGGGAUGGAGCAAAAGAACUUGAGCCCCAGCCUGCAAAGAGUUUUCCUUCCUACUUCUUCCAGGGAUUGAGAGUCAAGGGGGUGCCUGCAGGGGGUGACCCCAAGAGACUAGGGAGUUGCUAGCUACCUUAAUACAGCUACUCUGUUACGUUGGGGCUUCUUUAAGGGAAGGGGGUAUGCUGUCUUCGGAACUCAGCCCCAGCUGAUUUACCAAACCCAAUGUAAGUGUAGGUGCUAGAGGAAUGGUUGUUGAGUGAAGGAAGAAUGGAGGCAGUUGAUGUAUUGGGUUAACUUUGUUUAAACACUUUAAACUUUUAUUGUGCUCACAGGCUGGCUUGUGAAGCAGGUAGUUGAGCUGUAUUUUCUAGAUGCUGAAUGGAAGUAGGUGCCACAGUCAAGUCAUCCCCCAUGCUCAACAUUCCCCCACACUAAAAAGUAACCUGGGAACUCAGUGUAGGGUCCAGGCCAGCUUGCCAAGCACCAAGCUCCAAAUACAUGUCCAUCUCCUAGUAAACCUGUGCCUGAGAAAAACCCACUAAGGGACUAUGAAUCUGACCUUUCUUUUUAUUCAGCUCUGAAGUCCAAGGCUAUUAAACCAGACCCAGGGCUCUAGACAGGGCUGUGCCCUGGGUGUUUGGGGCGUAUGCUUUAGCAGGCAGAGCCUUCCAGGCCACAGUGUUUGUCCAAAAUCAAUCUCCUUCUAUUCGGGGGAUAAUUGGGAGUAACUAUCCCCAUGCUAGAACUGGAGAUUUCCAGGGCCUCAAAAGUUAAUUAACAAUAUGCUGAGUAUCAAGUACAUUGCCAUAAAAACCAGUGGCCCUGCUGCCUACUCCAUCUCAGACGGCUCCAUGACUCAGAGCACUCCUGGGCAGCUUUGAAUGGGUCUCAAGAGCAUCUCCUUUCCUUGGUGUCUGAAGACAGGAGGGAGGCUCUUUCUGGGUGGUAAUUGCCUUGACCUUGAGCCUAGCAAAAACCGGCAAGAAAAAUGCUAUUUUUGUAACCCUGGAGUUUGAGGUUUUGAGAAGAGUGGAAGCAAAGCCAGGACACCUAGAGAUGGAGUAAAACAUGGUUUCACAACUGGAUUGGGAGGUUGAAUGAUUUCAGAAGACCCAGCAGAGAAUCCUGUGGCUUCCAAGAAAAGCCCAGUCCUAGUGAGUAGGCACAAAGCCACAGAGGGGUUUAUUGUGGUGGAUCAGAAUGGAACCUGGAGCCUCAGGACCCAUAGCUGAGCUCCUUCCAGUUGUAUGAUCCUGGCCUCCCUGAGCCUUCAUUUGCUCGUCAUUCAAAUGGAGAUAAUCGUAGUCAGCAUGAUAUAGGUUGUGAGGAUUAAGUACAAUAGCAUAGUGCCUAGUAGAUAAGUGUCCCACAGCUCACUUUCUUCCUCAACACUCAGUAGGAAGCCAAUGUGAAGUCAAUGAUUGGGCAAGAAACACUUUCGGAACAUUUGUAAUAACACAUCUUCCUCUUUUCCCACCACUUAUCUCAAAUUCCACAGAGACAGACAAAUAAACUAAGUUGCAACUGGACGAUUGAUCCCUUUACAGAUGUGCCACAAAAUUCUUCUCAGAAUCCCAGUCCUUGAGCAGUACACCAGGCCACACCAAGAUACAGCCAGUGGCUACUCAAAAAUCUUGCAUUAAAAUCCUGUGUUUACAAGAUGGGCCAAGCAUGAUGAUAAGCCCUGCCCUCAGGAAGGUUGUAGUCUAUGUUGGGAGACAGGGUCAAACACACAAUGUUGGCACUAGGACAUGGGUUCUAACACAGUUGUACUUGACCUAGCCUGUCUCACACUUAGGUGGCAAGCUUGUUAAAAUGCAAAUCCUGGACUCCAUCCCCACUGAUUCUAAUUUUAUAGGUCAAGGAUCAGGCCCAUGAACUUAUAUAUUUAACAAAGUCCCAGGGGAAAUGGCAGUCCUUUGAGGAGCACUGUUAUAAUAGGAAUCGAAUGUUACAGGGUUUUCUACAGUGGAGAACGAAUAAUAUGUAUUUUUUUGAGGGGGGAGGUGCUCUCUGAGGUGUUCAUGGAGGAAGUAGUAUUUAAGUAAAGUCUAGAAGUUGGGAUAGGCCUUCAGGAAGCUGCAAAUAGAGCAAGUGUUUCCUUGGAAUAAAAAAUACUAAAGAGUCAGGGACAAUGCAGAGUACAUUCAGCAAGCUGCAAAAUACCCGGGUUUGGAGAAGGAAGGGUGAUAGAGGAAAAUGUUAGACAUUGGUUUCUGGAAGACCCUGGUGUUUGGGCUGAGCAUCCUUAGACUUACUCUGUAAACAGCGGGAGGCUGCCAAAAGUUUUUGAGGAUGAGAAUAAUGUUAUCAAUUGCUGACCAGAUGCUUUAGCUCUGAGUGAGAGACAGAUUAGAGGAGGUGGUGAGAAAUGAGAAAACUAGUUGGAGGGUUGACUAUUUAAAUUCUGAGUGAUAGGGGCUCAUCUGGAAGCCUAAACUAGGCCAGUGGGUGUUUAGUGGUGACAGGAAGCCUAAAUCUGACCAUGAAAGACAAAGUGGAGGGAAUAUCAGGAUCAUAAAAUUAGAUUGCAUGUGGUUGAUGAGAGAGAGAAAUAAGUCAAAGAUGCUCCUAAGGAAUGGAGCCUGUGUACCAAAUCCAGCAGAAGACUUAGGAGCUUGAGGAAGAAGCAAGAUCAAACAAGGAAGAUAAUGACUUUGGUUUGUACCUAUUGCAUUUGAUGUUAUCUAGUAGUUUGCAACACAAGCCUGCUUUCAGUCAAGAGGCUGGGUCUGAGCAUUUAUAUCUGAGUGCAUCACAUGUAGAAGAUGGGGGCAACUGGGAGAGUAAAUGACUUUAUCAAGGGGAAGGAUGGACCCAGAACCUUAGCAAAUGUCUCCGUUAAGUGAUUGGUGGAAGAAGAGCUAGCAAGAACGACUCAGAGACUGUGGUCUGGGAGGCUCUGGGGAGGUAGUUGAAUGCUGUCAGUGGAAUCACCACAAGACAAGAUUUUAGGGAGAGAGUGGUUCAUAGUGUGAACUGCUGGAGAAGCUGAGAGGGAGAGCUCAUUGGAGGUGUUGUGUGCACUUUUCAAGGUGGGGCAGGAUCCAGGCUGCAGAGAGUCGAGGAAAAACAGGAUCUGGGGACCAGAGUGAGUGUGGAAGCCAAGUGGAAGGAGCCAGUGGAAAGGGGAAGAUUAAAGAGAUGUCAGGAGAAGGAAAAUGGCUGAACAUGAUCAUAAAACAAGUGGGAUCCCAACUUCUCCUCAGUGACAAAUUUGUAAAACUGUUACAACACGUAUAGGAGUUUGUCUCCUAUUGUCUUUAAUUUGUGUUUUGGCCUUUAGAAAUAUUGAUGAAAAUUAGGAAAAAUGUAGAGUUAGCGAAGUAUGACAAGCUGUGCUUUAAAGUUAGAAAUGGGGCACAGGAGAGACAUCACGAGAUGUUUGUUUUCAGUGCAAUAGCCUUGCUAACAUGUCUUCUAUUUUCUGAUCUUAGUUGAUCUUUAGGUCACAGCAAUAAAAAUGCUAUCUC